ensembl:lncRNA
AAUUGUGAAUGUGUGAGGUUUAACUAGUAAAUAUGAGCAUUUUAUAUGAAUGAGUGAGGUAAAACUAGUAAAUGUGAGCCUUUUAUAUGAAUGAGUGAGGUAGAACUAGUAAAUGUGAGCCUUUUGUAUGAAUGUGUGAGGUAAAACUAGUAAAUGUGAGCCUUUUGUAUGAAUGGGUGAGGUAAAAUUUAUAAAUGUGAGCCUUUUAUAUGAAUGUGUGAGGUAUAACUAGUAAAUGUGAGCCUUUUGUAUGAAUGGGUGAGGUAAAAAUUAUGAAUGUGAGGUAAAACUAGUAAAUGUGAGCCUUUUAUAUGAAUGAGUGAGGUAGAACUAGUAAAUGUGAGCCUUUUGUAUGAAUGUGUGAGGUAGAACUAGUAAAUGUGAGCUUUUUAUUUGAAGUGAAACAGUAAUGAGGUCAAAUCUUAAUCAACUUCAGGGUGGUAGGAAUUUCACAAAGAAGCAUUUUCCAAAACUUCUUUGUUACAAAAACAAAUUUCUUAAAGCUAGCAUGACUGCAAACUGGCCAAACACGGGCAGUGACAUUCUGACAUUUUGCCCAUGAUGUCUGUGUGUGUGUCUGGUUAAGUAACGGGUUGGCGAAAUGGAUCAAUUGAAGAGUGACUCAGUUCCAUCCCGAGGUCUUCAGGUUACUUCCUGGAAACGUUGAGUGGACAUUCCACUCCGAUAAAGACACCUCCUGGUUACACACACGCACAACCGAGCUGAGUUAUUUAUGCAUGGACAGUAUUAGAGUUCACCAAAGGCAGGCCAAAAUCGCCUCAUCAUGAUGUUAACACUUGGACUGUGUGUGUGUCAGAGUGAAGGAAAUAGUGCUGUGUAGUGUGCAUUCAGCAGUUCUUUUCCAUUCAUAUAGACAAGGUGAAAUGAAUGAAAAAGGAAUCUGUGACUCUCAAAGAAAACCCGAAUCCCCAAAAAAUGGUGCUUCGUUGUUUACAGAAUUCAUCCACAAAUUAAUAAUAGUUUUAUGGUUAAGAUCACAAAUCGGUCAAUAAUGGAUCCUAGCAAAGUAAAAACUUCAUCUUAAUUCUGUACAUAUGUACAUUGUGUGUGUGUGAGAGAGAGAGAGUGAGAGAGAGAGGAGGAUGUGGACAGUCUGUGUGGUUUCAGAGCCACAUGGAUAUUGUGUGUGUGUGUUUUAAAUUAUUCUCAGGGUCAUAGUGCUCAGUCACUGAUAGCUCUUCUCUCUCAU